rnacentral:rRNA from 1 species
AUGUAUUGGGCCGACGUCGCAUGCUCCCGCGCCGCCAUGGCGGCCGCGGGAAUUCGACAUGUAAGGCCUUAGGGUUGUAAAGCACUUUAGGUAAGGAAAAAAAGUUAAUAGUUAAUACCUGUUGACCGUGACAUUACUUACAGAAUAAGGACCGGCUAACUCCGUGCCAGCAGCCGCGGUAAUACGGAGGGUCCAAGCGUUAAUCGGAAUUACUGGGCGUAAAGCGCGCGUAGGCGGUAUGCUAAGUUGGGUGUGAAAUCCCCGGGCUUAACCUGGGAACUGCAUUCAAAACUUGCAUACUGGAGUACGGAAGAGGCGAGUAGAAUUCAUGGUGUAGCGGUGAAAUGCGUAGAUAUCAUGAGGAAUACCAAUGGCGAAGGCAACUCGCUGGUCCGUAACUGACGCUGAGGUGCGAAAGCGUGGGUAGCAAACAGGAUUAGAUACCCUGGUAGUCCACGCCGUAAACGAUGAGAACUAGCCGUUGGAUCCUUGAGAUUCAGUGGCACAGCUAACGCAU